UGCGGCCGGCGGCCCGAGACCGCCUCGCAGCCGGGCCGGAGCCGCGCCGCCUCUCGCUCCCCUCUCCAGCUUCGCGGCUGCGGUGUCACGCUAAGCGCUCCCAGCCCUCGGCUUGGGCUGUUCAGCCUCCUUGGGCGCCACGGAGGCCCCGUCCUUCAGGGCGAGGAGCCCGACCAGCGGCUGGGGCCGUCUCUGCCGCCAGCGCUCCCCUGGGACGAAGCUGAUGCGGCCUCGGGCUUGAAGGGCCGGGUCGGUUCAAGGCGGGGUGUGGGACGCUUGUGCAUCUUCAGGCACUCGGUGGGAGAGCCCUUUUAAAGGAUUUAAACCAAACCCCAUGGGUUUGGUUUUGGUUUUGUUAUGGUUGUUUUUUUUUUCCUUAAUCGAAGACAAACAGUUGCAGUAUUUGAGGGAUUAUGAAUAGAUUAAAUGGAAUUUAGUUAUCAGAAAUAGGAUUUGAGAUGGUUCAUUGUAGCCGGGUUUUGACUUUUUGAUGCCUGAAAAGUUCUUGUUUCGGAAAGAGUGCUGUGGAAGUUUGGGGCCGGAGUGACUCAGGUGCGUGCCUGCAGGUGGGAGGAUGGAGCAGGGAACCUGGAGGCGCCAGGUCUGUGAGGCGUGGGUUGUCCCGAUGGCAUGGCCGUGAAUCGGAAUGUAAAAGAUCUCCGUGUGUUUUGAUUAAGCAAUCCCCAGAUGUUGAGGCAGGUCUCUUUUCAUGCCUCUGAGCAUACUUUCUCAUUUCCCCCGAUGACUCACUGAACAGGCUAUAUUUUUUCAUAAAGUGUAGUAUCUCAAACAGGAAAUAAAGUUCCAGGGAAGCUUUACCAGUGUUGCAUAGUGAACAUCUCCCUCUGUCUGGGAUUAUGAAAUACGGGGAUUAAUGCAAUGCAUAUUUCUCAAAAAAAAAAAAAAAAAUCUGUCUAAGGAUCCAGCUUUUUAAUGGAAGAUUUUAGUAGUGAAAGGACUGGAAACAAGAAAAACACCUGUUUUGGAGAACCAGUUAAAAUCUGUUUCUUAGAUACUUAGAAAAAUCAAAUAGAUAUUAUUUAAUGCAUUAAGAAACCUGCUUGGAGUAUUGGAUCUGUUUUAGGACUGAGGACAUUUGAUACUGUCAGAAUGAGACCUGUCUUUCCAUAAAUUAGCAUGUUACUUAGCACAUUUCUUGCCAAUAGUAUUCCAGUUCUCUAGGGCCAGCAGGGACUUAGGGAAGUGAAAGUUAGAAGGGACUCUGCUGGAAAUUGAGGCAAAGCCCUAGAAUAUACAAACUGUUCGAGGCAUCUAAAAUAGCAUUAUAUUUCCCUCUGGUUUGGGCAAAUUAUGCUCAAUGUAAUGCAUAUACUUGAAACCGAAGCUACAGUAUGUACUUUCUCAGUAAUAAGCAUACUAAAAGUCCACAGAAAUGAAGUGUAUUUUCAUCAUAAGGAAAAAAACUACAUGUGACACCUAACUUUGCACUUUAGUAUCCACUUUGUUUCUUGCUGAGUUUUUUCCCUUCCGCUUAGAAGCGAUGUUUUAGCAGGUUGUAACAAUAGAAGUUGUGUUUCAGUAAGAUAACAAGUAUGAUAUGCUUAAAGAACAGCAUUAUCUUAUCUGAGCAAGUAUUGCCAUGUAUUAAAUGUCAAUGUAACACAACUAUACAAGAAUAUUUCUAAUUACAGUAUUAAAGACAACUUGUGUGGAACAAUGAGUGUCAUAAAAAUAGGAGAGUUUUGUGUGGGGACACUGGGAGGUUUUACAAUCUGAAUGUAAAGAUCCAUGUAGCCCUCCUUUUCCAAUUGUAACUAUGAUAGGAUUUUGUUUUGUGUUUUGUUUUCUGAUUAACUACUAGCUCACUGUAUGCUUGUAUUUUCAACAAAGAUACUUCCUUUGUGAUAGACAUGUGUGUAGAACUCUUAGUUUAGAAAUUAAUACUCCAAAUAAAAGAUUUUUUUCCCCCAUAACUUCAAUCUGCUGACCCAUCACUUCAGGGUAGGUUUCAAUUAUAUUAGUUUACUAGCCUUCUUCAAGAUAUAGAUUAGAAGGUGGUGGUCUGGGUUUUCCUCAGGUUACAGCAUGACCUGAGAUAUGCUGGGCUGUGUCUGCACCAUGGGGAAAGGUGCUUUUUGAUUAUAUUGCAUUGAGCUGAUUUGAACAAAAGUGAAUUAAAAUGUUUUUUUUGUUUUUUAGUUUGUUGAAGCACACUAAAGAGACUUUAUAUGUGCUUUUGCUUACUAGCAUUCACAGAAGGUACUGGCUCCAUUUCUAUUGCAGUUACUGUGGUAAGUAGUCUUUGAAACAGGAGUCUUUGUCAACUGUUACCAACAAAGAAAACUCUGCAGUGCCAGUUUUUGGUUGCCUGAAAAAUCCCAGUAUUUCUUUGUAAAACUACAUGUUUCAAAGCAAUCUACAGGACACCAAUCCAAAAAUAUUUUUGAUAAUGCUCAGAGGGGUUCUAUUUCCAGAGUGAUGUGAUACAUAUAUAUAUAUAUGGUCUUAAUAAAGCAUCCCCACAUCCCGGAAAAAAAGAACAAACCUUACUUCCAUUCUGUGAGUGCUAUGCUGAGUGCUCAUCACAAGGAUUUAGAUGGGCAAAAUCCUGAUCACUUCUAUUUAUUAUUGCCUGUAUGUAUUUGAUGUGGCAUUGCAACCCCUAAUCCCUCUCAUUAGAUUAAAAGAUACGGAGUGAAAUCCUGUCUCAAUAAAAUCAGUAAGGUGAAACUCUCUCCCUGAAAGGAAGAGGUGGGUUUUAUUAUGAACUCCUGGGGGGAACAAGGCUUUGUUACUGAGGUUUCAAACUUAACCUGGAGGAGCUCACUAGUUAGCCUGUUUCAAACAGAAGAUUAAGAGCAGUAUUAACGUCUAUUACUAUCUACAUGAACAAAUUCCUGCUACUAUAAGGUUCUCUAACAUAGCAGGCAUAAUAAGGAAUGGAUGGAAGUCUCAGCAGGACAAAUUAAAACUCAAAAUAUGUAUAUGUGACUAAUGGUAACGUGAGUUACUGAGCAAGUUAUCAAAGAUAGCCAUUUUUUAAUUGCCUGUAAUCGUAAAUCAUCUGGAGUAUUUAGAAUCUGUAGUCCUGUCACUGAGACUGCAUUUUUUGCUGACCAGUGAAGAACAAAAAAGAAAAGGCCUAUGGCCUUGCCAAGGUGUGCACUAAAGGAAGCAGGAGAGUGACUGUAGGCAGGCUGCAGCCCUCCAUGAUUGUCGCCCCACUGCUGGGGCAACUCCCUCCACCCCUCUCUUGUCAAACGCACAGAACUCGGGGAGGGUGAGCCUGGAGUAAUGUUUUUUAAUCUUGAUGCUGUAACUGUUAGGUAAAAAUCAAAUGAUCAUACCAAAUGAUUUCGCUGAUGGAAUUAAAGUACGUGAAAUGAGUAAUGGUACACACGGGUGGUUGACUUUUUUCCUGAAUCUAUUCAAAGUCAUUCCCAGACUAGUGGAGCUAAGUUGAGCAGACAUUGGUGAUAAGGAUAAUACAGUCUAUUCUUUUAUAUUACAUCGGAAUGGAAUACAGAACUUACUUGGAGAUAGUAUCUUGGAAUUAGUUUUUGAAGUUAAACAUUGUCAGGAAAUUCAAAUACUGUACUGGUGACACAACUGAUAGACAGAUCCAGAUAAUUGUGCUAAUAUCUUAUAGUAUAUAUGGAAAAAAUCUUAUCCAAUGAAAACUCCUUAAUUCCAAUGAUACUCUAAAGUAUUAUUUCCAUGCAGAUUUAAUGAGUUGAGUAAAACCUGUUUGACCUUUAAGGAAAAACAGAAGCCAAGAAUUGUUGAGGCUUACGUUAAGAGGGUAAAAAUAAGGCCCAAUAUGUCUUAGUCCUAAAAUUAUAUUUCUGAAUUAUAUACAUUUAUUUCCUGGAUAUCAAAUGAAGGUAUUUUCAUUGGAAAUGAGAUCCCAACACUUCAUAUUCUUUUGAAUGUCACAUUUUUUCACAUCUACCCAACAGUCUACUCAAGUCAAUCUUCUGUUGACUUCAGCAGUUUAUGAUUUGGUCCAUACCAAGCAGUUCGUAAGAACAGAGAGCUAUCAAAAUAUUCAUCUUCAUGCUAUUAUUGCUGUAGGAAGAUCUCAAUUUCCACAGAGACUUAAAUUGGAUAAAAUAAAUAUUCACUAACACAGGAAUGUAUGCAAUUACGUACUGGCGGAAUCAAACAACUGGAUCUGAUGUCAUGUUCUCAGCUAGUAAUUGGAUAUUGUUUAUCUUUGUUACAGCUCUGUGAAGGAAAUAACAUUACAUGCGACUUUGAGCGUUUUAUGAGCAAUGAGUGGCAAUGGCAUAACUGGGAUAUCAGUUCAUAGAGAUUGCAGAAGAAUCCUGUGUACACAUGCUCUAGCAAAGAUAUUUUGUUACAAGCAAUAUACAAUAAUAAUAGCUAUUCAGAGUGCUUCAUGCUUACAAAGCUCUAGUUAAUAAUUUAAUUAAAUGUAAUUGUCAGCAGCAUUAUUUAUAUUGUUAGAAGAUAAUUAGUCCUUCAGUGACACUUUCAACAUUUCUGCCUUCAUCAUUUUAACAGUUGAGACAAAGAAAUUAACUAUUUAACAGUGAUUGUAAUAUGUAUUAGACUUACACAGUUAUUAAAAUGGUUGUAUUAGCUGGAGUUUUUUAAUUCUGCUUAACAUGGUUGGUAUUUCCUCUUCCUUUUUCCUGUAUAAAUGUAGCAAAUAGAUAAUUUAUUCAGGUCCCAUCCCAAAACAUGGAAAUAUUAAUGAAUGUGUGUAUUUAUAUAUUGAAAUUACUGUCAGGAUUAAAGACGAUGAUCCUGAAAUUCUGAGGUAGGUUAAUGCUUAUGGUCCUUGUAGUUUGUCUCGUCAACAGGUAUGGCACAGGCAGCAAGAGUACAUACAUGCUGCUCAGCAAGCCGGUCUGUGUCUCAGAGGAGACUAUUUUAAGUAUAGUAACUCUGCAUAAACUAUCUAUAGAGUAGUCUUCAAGAUCCUUCGCAAGAUAUGCAAGUUAUUUCCUGGUGCAUUAAAGAGAUUAAAUUGGAUUACAAUCAAAACAAUAAAUCUUUGUAUUAUAAAACUGCAGUUAAUGCAGUUCUUAAUAGCCAUGUGAUGCUUUUGCUUCUUGUGUUCCAUUUGGAAUAGGCAGGAUGGUGUGAGUUAUUAAACAUUACAUUUUUUAAUGUGUAAACAAUAAAAACACAUUAAUGAAGCAAA